rnacentral:piRNA from 1 species
UGGCUGACUCUAAGGUUAAGGUGGUC